rnacentral:rRNA from 1 species
UACGUAGGGCGCAAGCGUUGUCCGGAAUUAUUGGGCGUAAAGAGCGUGUAGGCGGCCAGGUAGGUCCGGUGUGAAAACUCGAGGCUUAACCUCGAGAUGUCAUCGGAAACCAUUUGGCUAGAGUCCGGAAGAGGAGAGUGGAAUUCCUGGUGUAGCGGUGAAAUGCGCAGAUAUCAGGAGGAACACCCGUAGCGAAGGCGGCACUCUGGGCCGGAACUGACGCUGAGGAGCGAAAGCGUGGGGAGCGAACAGG